ensembl:miRNA mir130c-1 microRNA 130c-1
GGGAGAGGUCUGUACGGUGAUAUUGACCAUGUUUUGUCCAUUGCCCUUUUUCUGUUGUACUACUGGCCAAUCAGAAGAGCAGUGCAAUAUUAAAAGGGCAUUGGCUGAUAGAACAGAGUCCUUCACCUCUCACCCUCUCCU